GACAGAGGUCCCGAGCGUUAGGCGGAAUCACUGGGCUUAAAGCGUGUGUAGGCGGAUCGUUAAGUGCCUUGUGAAAUCCCCAGGCUUAACCUGGGAACUGCGUCGGAUACUGGAUGGCUUGAAUCCGGGAGAGGGAUGCGGAAUUCCAGGUGUAGCGGUGAAAUUCGUAGAUAUCAAGUGGAACACCAGUGGCGAAGGCGAAUCCCUGGAAAAUACCUGACACUGAGGCACGAAAGCUAGGGGAGCAAACAGG
rnacentral:rRNA from 1 species